UUUGACUCUUUGUUUUAUUUGAAAUUUUUUUGCGAUUAAUAUUUUUAUUGUUACUAGAUGGUAAAACAUGAAUAGUACUUUAUGCAUAACUAAUUUUUAUAAAGUUUUUGUACAAAUUUUUCAAAUAAGACGAAUGGUCAAA
rnacentral:pre_miRNA from 1 species